AUGUGCUGAAAAAUGAUAUGAUGAUUGAAUAUGUAUGCACUGAAAAUCAAUUGGCCGAUAUCUUUACAAAGCCCCUUUGUAAAGAUAGAUUCAACUUCUUAAGGAAUGCCUUGAGCUUGUAUGAUCCUAGCAAAUGAAUUGAACUUGUAUUGCAUUGCUUUGCUACUCAAACUAGUAAUCUACCUCAAAGUAAACAUAAGUGAAAACAUGAAUUCAUCUAAGCUAAAUGACGAACUGUUUGACUUUCCGGAGGAUGGUUAUCCUCUCUUGGACUCUUCAUGGAGAUAUUUUCAGAGCCUAUUUCAUAGGUAUUCGAAAUUUGGUCAAACAUUCCUCAUUUCAAUAUUAAUAAUUCAAAAAUCAUUAUCAAAUUAUUAUAGGAUGUAUUAUUAAGGGGGAGGAUCACAAACAAAUUCACUCUGAUUUUAUCAAAAGAGAUCAUGUUGAUUAGGGUGAUUAAACAAAAAUUGGGAAAAGAUAGAGUUCAGUCUGAAAUUUUUUCAGUGCCGGAGACGUCUCUGGCAAAUCGCAGAGACGUCCCCCCAGGCGAGACGUCUCGCCUUAGUCGCGGAGACGUCUCGGGGACCGAACU
rnacentral:lncRNA from 1 species